AAGUGAUUAAAGAAAAAUAAGCAAACACGACACUAAUUCGAAUGGAAGAAGUACACCAAUGAAUACUCAAACAAAGUUGUUAGGAUAUUAUUGUAAUCUCUUAAUUAUCCGUUAUGAAUUAUCAUUAUUGGUAAUUAAUGAAUUAGAUACUACAAAUUUUUGUUUUUCUAAUUUUUAUUUGAAUGAGCAUUAAUCAAUGAAGUAGCUAAGACUGAAUGAUACUAAUUUAAGAACUUUUUUCCCCAUGACUAAACUAGAUAUUAAUCCUACAGCAACCUAAUAUAUUAAAAUGCAAUACAUAAAUACAUCACCAUGAUAAUUAUUAACAUGAUAAUCAGGAUCGUUCAAAGUAGAAGACACAUGCGUACAGAUAUCUUCAACGCUCUUGCAUCCGAAGAAGCUGCGAUUGGUUGGCUUCAAGAAUAGAUCAUGUUAUUGCUUUAUAGAGAUUAUAUAUUUUUUUAUCUCAAUAGGUGAAGUAUGUUGCAUGUUUAUCGGAAGUGGACUUAAGGAUACUAUUGAAAAAUCUGCUUGUUAUUAUGGAUACAUAUUUUA
rnacentral:lncRNA from 1 species